rnacentral:rRNA from 1 species
GACGAACGCUGGCGGCGUGCUUAACACAUGCAAGUCGAACGGAAAGGCCUGCUUUCCCUUGUGGAUUGCGGGUACUCGAGUGGCGAACGGGUGAGUAACACGUGAGUGAUCUGCCCCCAACUUGGGUAUAAGCCUGGGAAACUGGGUCUAAUUCCCGAUAGGACUGCAGGGUGGUGCCUGUGGUGGAAAACGAUUUUCUAGUGGUUGGGGAUGAGCUCGCGGCCUAUCAGCUUGUUGGUGGGGUAAUGGCCUACCAAGGCGGCGACGGGUAGCCGGCCUGAGAGGGUGGACGGGCACAUUGGGACUGAGAUACGGCCCAGACUCCUACGGGAGGCAGCAGUGGGGAAUAUUGCGCAAUGGGCGGAAGCCUGAUGCAGCGACGCCGCGUGGGGGAUGACGGCCUUCGGGUUGUAAACUCCUUUCGACCGCGAGGAAGCCACCUGGUUGGAAGGGUGGUGACGGUAGUGGUAGAAGAAGCACCGGCUAACUACGUG